UUGUCUCCUUUAGCAUACAUUCAUAAUUCGAAAUUUUCAAAAAAGAUUUUUUUGACAAUAGAAGGUUUUUAUAAAGGAAAAUGCAAAAAAAAAAAUGGUAGAAGUUUUGUACAUUUCAUAUAACGAAAAUAUCAAAAGAUUUUCCUUUCAUAUUUGUUGGUAUCAUUUUUAGGUUAAGUGUCAAAUUGAAAACUCAAAAAGAUUUUAUUUAUGUUUUUCAUCUUCUGUUUGUGG
rnacentral:lncRNA from 1 species